rnacentral:rRNA from 1 species
AGUCCUGGCUUAGGAUGAACGCUAGCUACAGGCUUAACACAUGCAAGUCGAGGGCAGCAGGUCGAAAGCUUGCUUUGAUGCUGGCGACCGGCGCACGGGUGAGUAACGCGUAUCCAACCUUCCCUGUAGUAGAGAAUAGCCCGGCGAAAGUCGGAUUAAUGCUCUAUGUUGAUUUCGAAGACAUCUGAAGAAUACCAAAGGUUUACCGCUAUAGGAUGGGGAUGCGUCUGAUUAGGUUGUUGGCGGGUAACGGCCCACCAAGCCCACGAUCAGUAGGGGUCUGAGAGGAAGGUCCCCCACAUUGGAACUGAGACACGGUCCAAACUCCUACGGGAGGCAGCAGUGAGGAAUAUUGGUCAAUGGACGGAAGUCUGAACCAGCCAAGUAAGCGUGCAGGAUGACGGCCCUAUGGGUUGUAAACUGCUUUUAUAUAGGGAUAAAGUCGGGGACGUGUCCCCGUUUGUAGGUACUAUAUGAAUAAGGACCGGCUAAUUCCGUGCCAGCCGCGGC